rfam:Ovis aries breed Texel chromosome 1, whole genome shotgun sequence.
GCAUUGGUGGUUCAGUGGUAGAAUUCUCGCCUCCCACGCAGGAGACCCGGGUUCGAUUCCCGGCCAAUGCC